rnacentral:rRNA from 1 species
GACGAACGCUGGCGGCGUGCUUAACACAUGCAAGUCGAACGGAAAGGCCCUGCUUUUGUGGGGUGCUCGAGUGGCGAACGGGUGAGUAACACGUGAGUAACCUGCCCUUGACUUUGGGAUAACUUCAGGAAACUGGGGCUAAUACCGGAUAGGAGCUCCUGCUGCAUGGUGGGGGUUGGAAAGUUUCGGCGGUUGGGGAUGGACUCGCGGCUUAUCAGCUUGUUGGUGGGGUAGUGGCUUACCAAGGCUUUGACGGGUAGCCGGCCUGAGAGGGUGACCGGCCAAAUUGGGACUGAGAUACGGCCGAGACUCCUACGGGAGGCAGAAGUGGGGAAUAUUGCACAAUGGGCGGAAGCCUGAUGCAGCAACGCCGCGUGCGGGAUGACGGCCUUCGGGUUGUAAACCGCUUUCGCCUGUGACGAAGCGUGAGUGACGGUAAUGGGUAAAGAAGCACCGGCUAACUACGUG